GGGGUCCGAGUUGUAAUUUGUAGAGGGUGUUUCGGGCGAGCCACCGGUCUAAGUUUCUUGGAACAGAACGUCACGGAGGGUGAGAAUCCCGUCUGCGACCGGCCCGGCGAGCCCAUGUGUGACCCCUUCGACGAGUCGAGUUGUUUGGGAAUGCAGCUCAAAAUGGGUGGUAAAUUCCAUCUAAAGCUAAAUAUUGGCCAGAGACCGAUAGCGGACAAGUAGAGUGAUCGAAAGAUGAAAAGCACUUUGGAAAGAGAGUCAAACAGUACGUGAAAUUGUUGAAAGGGAAGCGCUUGCGACCAGACCGGUCCGGGGGCGAUCAGCCGCGGCUCGUCCGCGGUGCACGCGCCCUCGAUCCGGCCAGCAUCGGUUCGGGCGGCGGGACAAAAGGCGCGGGAAUGUAGCUCCUCUCGGGGAGUCUUAUAGCCCGCGCCGCAAUGCCGCCCGCCCGGACCGAGGACCGCGCUUCGGCUAGGAUGCUGGCGUAAUGGUCGCAAGCGACCCGUCUUGAAACACGGACCAAGGAGUCUAACAUCUAUGCGAGUGUUUGGGUGGCAAGCCCGGGCGCGGAAUGAAAGUGAACGGAGGUGGGAGCCCCCUCGGGGGCGCACCAUCGACCGAUCCUGAUGUCUUCGGAUGGAUUUGAGUAUGAGCAUAGCUGUUGGGACCCGAAAGAUGGUGAACUAUGCCCGGAUAGGGUGAAGCCAGAGGAAACUCUGGUGGAGGCUCGCAGCGGUUCUGACGUGCAAAUCGAUCGUCAAAUCUAGGCAUAGGGGCGAAAGACCAAUCGAACCAUCUAGUAGCUGGUUCCUGUC
rnacentral:rRNA from 1 species